AUUCAAUUCUGAGGGGCUGAGGAUGGCACAUCCGGGAAUGACGAAAGCGUGGCGAGAUUCAGGUCACGAGGUUAGAAGAAACAUCUUCUCAUGUGGACUGCAUACAUGGUGAUCAAGUUGCACAAUGUGAAGUGUCAAAAGAGAUAUUUUGCAGGAAGAAACCUAAUUUGUAGACUACUAUUGAAGGAGAGUUGGCAUUAGGGUCAACACAUUACUAUCAAUUUGCAAGAUGUCCAAAUCAGAUGAGAGAAAUUCAACAUUUUUAGAUUCUUUGGCCUCUGCUGAUCAAGAGGAAAGACAGUCAGUGAGACACAGCAAAGCCAAAGAACUAGCUUUCAAAGCGCUAUUUUCCACCAUUUGUACCAUCUACAUGGAUUCAAUUUACUUGACAACAGAUUUUGUAAUUGAUGCUCAGGAUUGUUUGCCACUAGGAAUUGUCAAACAUGAUUUCCAACGGACUUUUGAUGACUCAGGUAAGUACGUGAGGUAGAUGGUGAAGAAAGCACUGUGCAAAGUCAUAAGCUCAAACUAGCCGCUUUCAGAGAGACUGGCCAAAUUUCCAUGGACUAGCUGCAGUUUCGAGUUACCUGUGCUCGUUGGGAAACAAGACGCAAGUUUCGGUUGUGUGAGCUAAUUGUGGAUGUGGUUCAACUCACUCUAAGGAUUCAACUCGUAUUGAUCUUGUUGUCGCGUACUAGCUGUUCUGUUGAGUGUAAUCAGUGACAUUCGGUCUGCAGAAUCACCUGUUAUCUAGCCUGGAAUAUUUAGUAGCGCCACGUUUACGUUUUCUGGAAGGUUUUUCUAUGAGCAGUUGGUCUCAAGGGAAGUGUUAUAUGUUUACCAUGACAAACAGGAACAUCGAGAUGUAUCUGCUAUGAAGAGAGCAUUUAUUGCUAUAAUAUCUGGUCACAUGAAGGUGAUUCAAGAUUAUAUUUUAAACACAACCUGUGGUCUACAUUUUUUUAAAUAAUGAAAUUGUUACAUGGAACAACAAAAAUUGCCGACCUCAUUAUGUUACUUUAAUUACAAGUGACCACAAGCUAAGAAUGUGGACAUUAAGCAUAUUGUAAACUCUAGUUGUACUGUAGUAUGUGUCUAAUUAAAGUACAAGA